rnacentral:rRNA from 1 species
GACGAACGCUGGCGGCGUGCUUAACACAUGCAAGUCGAACGGAAAGGCCCUGCUUUUGUGGGGUGCUCGAGUGGCGAACGGGUGAGUAACACGUGAGUAACCUACCCUUGACUUUGGGAUAACUUCAGGAAACUGGGGCUAAUACCGGAUAGGAGCUCCUGCUGCAUGGUGGGGGUUGGAAAGUUUCGGCGGUUGGGGAUGGACUCGCGGCUUAUCAGCUUGUUGGUGGGGUAGUGGCUUACCAAGGCUUUGACGGGUAGCCGGCCUGAGAAGGUGACCGGCCACAUUGGGACUGAGAUACGGCCCAGACUCCUACGGGAGGCAGCAGUGGGGAAUAUUGCACAAUGGGCGGAAGCCUGAUGCAGCAACGCCGCGUGCGGGAUGACGGCCUUCGGGUUGUAAACCGCUUUCGCCUGUGACGAAGCGUGAGUGACGGUAAUGGGUAAAGAAGCACCGGCUAACUACGUG